rnacentral:lncRNA from 1 species
AAGGACAGAAAAAUAAGCAAAAUUUUUAACAGUAUUUGCUAAAGGAGUUAGAAGCAUUGUCAGUUUAAAAACUUCAUAGAAAAAAUAAUUGAAACAGUGUAAUAAAGUUACUUAAUUCUAAUUUAAUUUUUGCAAAGGGGAUUAUUUGGGAUCAAAUAAUAACCUAUCACAUUCAUUGUAAUCUAGCAAAUGGAAUGAUUUGAUAUAUAAUUGAACGAAGCAUGAAUUCAAACAAAACUAGUAGACUUUCUGUGACCACUUGUUUGAACACCAUUCAGAAGAGUAGAAUAUGUCAUACCUUGUAACCUAAACUGCUCUGCAGAUAAGUAAUACCAACAGUCUUGAAUUUUUUAAUUUGGUAAUACCCCUCUCCCUGUAAUACCAAGAAUAUUACCAAAACUCUGUUAGUUGACAUAAAUACAUGUUUGGUAUUCAGUACCACAUUUUGUGGUAUUUUUGCCUUCCUCAUCCUUUUUGCCUUCAAAAGAUGUGCCUUUUGCAAUAAUAUGAUAAUUGGCUUCUGAUAAGACUAUUAAUGUUAAUAGAUGUAAAAUAUGACAUUUAGCAGGGACAAAGAUGGAGUUUUAAAUUUUAUAGCCAAUUCUCAUACCACCAAUGCUGCAAUAAUAGGAAGACUUAAUAAGGAGUCUGGAAAAACUGAAUUCUUUUGACUCUUUCACCCCAACCAACCCAAAGACACACUUUUAGGAUGGACUGGGAUGGAUUGUACAAGGUAAGAGAACAGUGUUAAUUCUUGCUUUGGAUCGGAUGCUAGAAAAAAGACCUAAAUAUUAUAAUGGAUACCCUAAAUAAAACAAUUAAUAAAAAUAGAAAACAAUGAGAAAUGUUUAAGAGAGUAGAUUUGUUAUGUAUAUUUACCAUAAUAAAAAAAAAUUAGGGGUUCCUGCUGUGGUGCAAUGGGAUCGACAGUGUCUCUGUAGCACCAAGAUGCAUGUUUGACCCUUGGCCCAGCACAGUGGGUUAAAGGAUCUGGUGUUGCUGCAGCUGCAACGUAGGUCACAAUUUUGGCUCAGAUCUGAUCCCAGUCCCGGGGACUCCAUAUGCUGUGGGGUGGCCAAAAAAAAAAAAAAAAAAAAAAAAAAGGGAAAAAAAAAGAUGGAAUAAAAAGGGGUUAUUACAAUCUUAAAAUCACAUGAGCUGAGAAUGGAAGGUUAGCAUUGACCUAGUGAGGUGUGAGCUCUUGUCAGAUGGGAAAGCUGAGGCCCAGAAAGGCCUUCCUUGUUACUUAGAGUUCCAAGACUGCAGCCUCUGGAUUAGGCUUGAGUUUUUAUUGCUCUCAGGCAAGACUGGAAAAGUAAAGGAGUUUAGGGAAAAGUGAUGCUAAGAGAAAAACCAAAGGGAAAUUAAAGGUUGGUUGAACAAAUCCAGAAAGGGCCUGAGCAUUGCUUUUAGUGACCUGUGUCGGGAACUCAAGGGUUUUUCUUCCCUUGUGGUUCUCUGGCUUGAAAGCCAUGUUCAAGUUCAGCCUUCUGCUGUUGGCCUUUCUGAGCUGCUUUAUGAGAAGCCAGACAUGUGUGGCCCCUCUACACUCCACUCUCAAGGUGACAGAGAGGGGCUGAAUCUCCCUCCCAGGCCAGCAGGAGCCUCCCGGCUGCCUCCAAUGUGCAUCUGUUCUGUUCGUGCCUGGAGCCCCACUGCAGUCAGCAUCCAAAUAUAUUGGAAACAAAACCUACAAGCAUGAAUUAUUAUAAGCUGUACCCACUAAAAUAUGAAAAGUGUAUUUUGCUAGUGUCUGCCUUAUCUCUGAGCCCUGAUAGGGGAAACAGCUUUAAGGAAAAAGAGUGACUUCAAUGGGGGGGCUAUUGCCAGGCUGCAUAAUGGGCCCAGAGGAGGGAGGCUGGCCUUGGGGAGCAGGGAGGAACAUGUGCUUUGAAGGGGAUCGGCAGAGCUGGCUGGUACUGGCUGCUUAGGGGAAGGAAACGUUGCACAGGCCUCCAACGGCUGUUCACUUGUACUUGAGGAAGUCAGGGCCUGAUAAGCAUUUUUCUUGAGUAGAAUAAGAGACUUGAAGGACUUUGAAGCAGUCAGAAGUGAAUCGUCCCCGUCUUCGCACCAGCAUCCUACCUGGAAGGGCAAGUGCCACAGCGGGGGGUGGGGGGAGAGGAGUGGACUGCCUCCCCCUUUCCUGAGUGGAGGUGCAUGGAGAGGAUCGAGAGCAUUUUUAAAAGAUCACCCAGGUACUUGCAGGAUGAAUAUAUGUUUUAUGAACCAGGGAACUAGAAUAUUCCCAUUAUGUAAGCAGUUUUAUCUGAAGAAUGUUGUGGGCACAUCGGUCGUCAUGGACCACAGGGAACUCUUCAGAGGCUCUUCAUGUGGCACCCUAAAAGAGAAUAAGACACCGUGGUGUUAGCACAAGAGAAAGAAGGGGAGGAAGAAGACAUAGACAAGACGGCACCUCCCUUUUUAUUUUGGUGGGUGGUGUGUUUACAGCUGUAUUUUUUUUAAUGAUUAUGGUUGAUUUAUAAUUUUAUGCCAAUUUCUGCUCUACAGCAAAGUGACCCCUGUCAUACAUACAUAUAUACAUUAAUAUACAUUGCUUUCCUAUUACCUUUCAUCAUGUUCUAUACCAAGAGAUUGGAUAUAGUUUCCUGAGUUGUACAGUAGGGUCUCACUGCUUAUCCAUUCUAAAUGUAAUAAUUUGCAUCUACUAACCCCAAACUGCCUGUUCAUCCCUUUCCCUCCCUCCUCCCCCUUUGACAAGUCUGUGCUCUAUGUCUGUGGUCCCUUAGUGAGUGAAAGCUGUGUUCCCCCUGCCCCCUGCACAUAUGCACCCCCCCUCCCCGCUCCCCACACACAUGCACGCAGCAAGUUAACCGAGCCUUUGGUGUAUUAAAAAAAUUCUCACCACGUCUAUAGGGUGCACCCUGCCCCCCCCCACCCCCCAUAACAGAGCGGAGCCGAGACAGAGGAGUGGAGCCCCAGGAAAAAAGUCUCAUCAUGAGUCGAUUAAAACCCCAGCCUCCUGACCUCCAAUCAUAAGUUCCUGGCCCUGGGAAAUAGCUCUCUAAUGGGCUUUAGGCAAUAAAGCAACAAGGCUGAAAUUGAGGUUACAUUAAAGCCUAAUUUUCUUAUGAGGAAAAAUGUGCAAAUGAAUAUGAAAGUGAUGUACCUUUGUAAUACAGCUUCUUGCCUGUGCCCAAACAUCCUUAGCCUUUUGUCUCAAUUUUCUCAGUACAGCGUGUGCCUGAAGCUACCCGAAUAUAUUUUACUCAGUAAUGCGGUCUUCCCUUAGCUGGGGUGUGGACAGAAAGGAAUGGCUUAGCUGCAGUUGGGGUAAAUUGGGACUAACGAAGCCUGGUGCAGGUAGGAACCUCUGCCUGCCAGCCGCACACCUAACACAAGCCCCUUUUGGGGUAUCAGAGAAGAUUCUAGACACAUGGCUUUAAGAUAGGCCCCUGACUAUCGUAUAAGCUUAAAAAGGAAAAAAAAAAAAAAAAAAAAAAAGACUGUCUUAGCCUCAAUUUAUCCCCCUGUAAAAAGGGGUACCCUCAAUAGAGUAUUGAUGAGAUAUCUGGGAAAGGGUUUAAGCAUUAGAGCCACAUGUAAAAUAGAAGUUAUGGUUUUAUUAGAUCCAGUUCCAGCAGGAAGCCAGCUUUGUAAUAACAUCAGGCAAAUCAUUUCACUGCCCUGAGCCUGGUUUCCUCCGCUUUAAAGUUAAGACACCUUUAAAAGUGCUGUAGGUCUAUAGAUCUUGUAUCUAGAUUCUAAGGAGAUGGUGGGUGUGCAGUUUUACAAAAGCGCCCUUUUUAAGUGCAUCUUAGUUCUCAGUGCCUUUCCUCCCCUCUCCAUGAUCCAUUGCAAAAUUGUAAAGGUAGAGUGGGAAGCAGAAGAAUAACAUGGAAUAAAAGGCAUCCAGAACUUUGCAGCUCAGACAGUAGAGCCUGGCUUGAGAAAGAAGGAAGUUGUGUGACGCAGGGCCUGCUGAGAUGCCAUCCGGAAGCAUUGUUUACUCUCCUGCAAGCACCAAGAAAAGCAAUCCAGAAAUGCCAAGUGAAUAUUUUGCCUCUUACAUGCACCUCUUAUUUCCCUGGUGUUUCUAGGCUGUGUUAGCCUUUAUGCUUAAGUGAUGCAUGUUAUAUUGUCCAGGAUUUCAUGCCCACUAGGUGACAUUACACUAUUACCACUUUUAAUGCUGCAGUAGUUUUCAUAACCUAUAGUACGUAUAUGGAUCCUUAUUAUAACUUCUAUUUGGGCCUUUUUUUUUUUUUAAUAAGAAGGCAUUUUUUUCUUUUGGCAGCUACAUUGUUGGGGGCUUUGAGAAUUUCCUUAAUGCUGUCACUCAAGGGGUAUACGUUCUGAAUUGUCAUUUUCUGCUUUUGUGCAGUUUCUCUUGUUCCUAUGAGCUUCGUUAGUGGCUCAUGCACAAUAUGACUCUUUGGAAGUCUAGAUUGCUGGCAGCCCCAGCGGUGCCCAGAGUCUUGUUAGGAGGGCAUUUCUUCCUGCCCUCGGCGUGACAGAUUGGAGAUGCUGGUGCAGACUGAAGCGAAAAUAAAUUGCAGAGAUGAGACCCCAAAGACAAAGAGACAUGCAAGUGGCUGUGGGCUUCAAGGAGCAAAUUUAAUCAGUGCUGACUCCAGGCUUACUGGUUUGCAGAAAUAAUUCCUGUGGCAGCAAAAAGCUCCUGCUUAGAGAAGUUGUUAGAGCUUGAGUCACAGAGGGUGGUGGGCUCCCAGGGGCAUUUGAUGAUAUUUAGUAAUCCCUUUCAGAAGGGAUGCAUACACCCCUCAGAAAAAAUACACAUCCCUGUGCCACACAGCGACCCUCCCCUCCCUCAUUCUGAUUCUGAAUGGCUGUAUAGCCUUUGGCAGGAGAGGAACUUCUCUGAGUUUCAUUCAAUUUCUUCAUCUAGAAAAUGGAACUCUAACCUGCUUAUUUUACAAGGUGGUAUGAAAGAAUUGAAGGAUAAUGCUGAUUUAAAAAAAAUCACUAAAAGGAUCCUUAAACAUUUAAUUGUUACUAAUUUCUUCUUAGCAGAGAGGGAAAUAAAAGGCUUUGAUUCCUGUUAAAAAGAUUCGUGGUCUUUAAAUGAGUGGAU